AUUUGGGAAGAAUUUCAAAUCAUUUAAUCCCUCAAGGACCCCUGAGGAAAGUACAGUUAGUCCCAUCUAUAGCUUGGUAUCCUGCAGAACAUCCUGCUGAUGUGUAAUUGACAUGAUGAGCAGCAAGGAGCAAAUAUCGUACAUGCCUUAAUAAGACAAAUGUAUGCCAGGGGGUGGGAGAUGAUCCCCAAGAAAAAUCAAACGCCUAUUGCUUUGGUGAAGAUUCUAGGGGUCCAGUGUGGUCUGGAGAAUAUUGGCAUUUCCUCUCCAAAGUGAAAGACAAAUUACUGUACUUUGUACCACCUAUCACGAAGAAGAGCUAUAAUAUUCUGUGGGUCUUUUUAUUUUUGAGGUAACAUAAACACUUUUAGAGUCUAUUGUUCAGAGCAAUGUUGUGAGUUACCUACUACGCUGCAAGUUUUGUCUAGGGACCAGUGCAAAAAAGGGCUCAAGAGAGAGCAGGGUUUCUCAGUCUUGGCACUAUUGACAUUUACGGGACAGGCAAUUCUUUGCUGUGGGGCGGGCCUGUGCAUUGCAGGAUGUUUAAUAGCAUGCCUGGCCUCCACCUACCAGAUGUUAGUAGCAUCACUCCCCAUAGUUUUGAGAACUGAAAAUGUCUGCAGACAUUGCCAAAUAUUUUCUGGGGUGCAAAAUCACCCCCAUUUGAGAACCAUUGGGCUACAGCAUGUCUAGUUAAGCUUUAAGGUGAGAAUCAUUGGGCUACAGCAGGUCUAGUUAAGCUUUAAGGUGACUACAGUACUGGCUGACAACUGGACUGCAGCCUCGUGAGAGACCCUCAGCCAGAUUCUCCCAACUGUGCUGUUCCCAGAUUCCUGACCCUCAGAAACAAUGUAAGAUGAUAAAUGCAUGUUGUGAAGUUUUGGGGUAAUUUAUUACUCAGGAAACUCAGACAACUAAUACACCAGUCCUCUGAGCCAUAAGGUUAGGCAUGCAUGGCAGAAAUCCAUCAUCAGGUGUAAGUAGUAAAAUAGUAUAUACCAGGUUCGGUUUGAGCAGGUCCUUCAGGCACAAGUAAGUUUCAAGAGCAAGUGGCUGUGACUUCCAUAGCAUCUAUUCUUGCUGCAAUUUUAAUUCACCAUCAGUCCACAUCUGUGACCUCUUAGGAUUGACUGUUGACAGACUAAGAAAACAUUUGGGCCUGGUUCGCAGAUGGUCCCUUGCAGUUUGCAGGCACCAGGUAGAUGUGGACUGCUGAAGCAUUGCAGCCCAAAUCAGGAACGUGGUAAGAGGAGCUCUCUCAGGACCAAACACUGAGCAUGUUAUCUGGAGGGAGAGAUGGCCAGAAGUCGAGAUAUAUACCAAUUGAUGGGUCAUUAAUGGUUUUAUUAGCAUACUGGUGACAACGAAGUCUAGGAAAAAGGUUUGCAGAUGGACCUUUCCCUAUGGGCACUAUCACAUAUGAAUUCUCAUUAGAGGGCAUCCACUGAUGAGGCCCUCAGCAGUCCACUGACAGGAUAGCCUGUUCUGUGGAUGUCAGUCAGUCCAUUUCCAGCAACCCCGAGGCUUGCUUAAUAGGCUCAUGAAGAGCAUGGCCAUUGUGGCAGGGAGAGAAGCCAGACAUGAGUUCAACAAUGUGGACUUCCCCUCAUCAAACUGGUCUGGCUCCUGUCACUGAUAAAUGACUAACUUGCUGACAGGGGCUCUACCAUCUCUGAGUCUCUGAUGUGGAGUCAUUCCCCAGGGGGACCAGUCAGCCAUCAGAUUAUUGCAUGGAACUUCUAUUAUGAAGGACAUGAUUUUGUCCUCUAGAAUAGACACUAUUUAUUUUUUCUUUCUUUCUUUUUAAAUAGAGACAGGGUCUCACUCUGUCACCCAGGCUGGAGUGCAGUGGUGCAAUCAUAGCUCACUAUAACCUUGAACUCCUGGGCUCAAGUGAUCCUCCUGCCACAGCCUCCCAAGUAGCUAGGACUACAGGCACUCACCACCAUGCCCAGCUCUUUUUUAAAAAAAAUUUUUUUGUUCAGACAGGGUCUCGCUAUGUUGCCCAGGCUGGGACACUAUUUCUAAAUAUGCUGUGCAUUCACUGCCUGCAGUGGGUUUAUCAGUACCACCAUCUGUGAACUUAACACAGAGCCUUAUUUAAUAGCAUGAUGAUUAUGACCAAAGAAGUUCUUUGCUUGUGACCAAAGAACUAAUUUUACAGCAAAAGUAGUACAGCAUUGGUAUCAUGCCCAUGGGACUUAUUGGAUUACCAUGUACUCCAGCACCCAAAGGUAGUUAUCAUUACAAAAUUUAGAAAUAGAUAACUGAAGUUUCAAAAAUGGUACCAUCUGGAAGAUAACUGCCUGCAGUCUAGGUGGCUUUCUUACUGCACGUAGAUUAUGCUUUGAAUCAGCAAAUGAGUGAUGCUAUGUCUCUCAUAGUCAGGAUACACAGACCUGGGAGUCAAGGGGUAAAAAUGAGAGUGGCUACUCUCACUAUCACAUCCUGAAUAUCACUCACAGAAUAUUUGCCCUCCUUCUACAAAACAUAGAUCAGCUGGUUUAAAGGUCUUGAUUCCUAGGAGAGAACGCUUCCUCUAGGGGAAACAAUAACGUUCCACUGAACUGGAAUUCGAUACUUCUGUCUGCCCAUUUCAAGUUUCUUCUGCCACUAAAUGGACAGGCAAAGAAGAGGGUUACUUUUCUGGCUGGGGUGACUGAACAGAAUUAUUACCAGGGAGUAAUUGGGUUGCCGUGACACACAAUGGUGGCAGAGAGGACUAUGUCUGAAGCCCUGGAAAUUCUCCUGGGUGCCUCUUAGCACUUCCAUGUCCAAGAGUAAAAGUUUCUGGAAUAAUAUUGCAACCUGCAGGACAGCUAAAGACUUAGACCCUUCAAAAAUGAAGGUUUCAAUAAUCUUGCCAAGAAAAGAACCCCAGACAACUAACUUCAGUUGCUGGCUGAAGGUAAAAGGAAGAUGGAAUGGACGUUGGAAGAAGUUCAUUCUCAAUUAUUAUUUAACUAUUAUCAUCAUCAGUCAACUAGUUUUGUUACCAGUCACCAAAACAAAACCCGUAGCAGCUAUGCACAUUUUCUUCUUUGUUUACUCUGCAUAACACUGAGUGUUGGUGGUUAAUUUUACAACUUAGCCUUUAGGUUGUAGAACAUCCAUUAUAAAAGGUGCAAUGGUGUCUGAAAGGAAAAAAUUUAACAUCACCCUGGGAUGAAUACAGUGGCUGAGGCCACUAUCUUACAGGGUUUUACUCUGAAUUAUCUGUUUUAGGGAGAGAGUGAACUUGUGUUCAUCUGUGUGAGGAAUAAAAUUGCAUUCUGUGAGGAAGAAGUGUGAUGUUGCUGUAGGGUGCGUACAAUGGAAUGUGUGGAUGCUGAGUAGCAAAAGGGUGGAUGUGCUGGAUUGUGUCUCUUGACUCUUAAGUCCAAGUCCACCCUUCUGGAUAAUCCUCCAUCCUCUUUC
rnacentral:lncRNA from 1 species